rnacentral:lncRNA from 1 species
UCUAUGCAACUCUCGUAGUUGGUUUACACACAAAAUAGGCCUGGGUGGCCUGAGGUUUUUCACGGCAGUAGGUCUACCAGCUUUGGUCGUUGUCUUGCACCAUGCAAUUCCCCCACCCCUCCACCCCCUCCUAGUCAAAACUCUCAAUCCAGCGUGUUAUUUUUUCCUCCGGUAGUUAAAACUAAAGGCAAAACUUGAAAAAUCAAACGUAGGAGGCAAGAUCCGAGCAAAUCCAAUCUUGCGAGGCAUUCUACUGCUGGAAUGAACAGUCACAAUAAGCGUAAGUUUACCUUGUGUAUCGGAGGUAUAACUAAGUUUUCGUUUGUUGGCUUAACUUCACCGAGCUACGUCCAUUCAUGAAACUCGAUCUGCCUGUGUACCAGCAGCAAAAUGUUAGUUACCUACCGUCACCUAUGCAGUGGCUGCCAGCACUUCAUUUUAGUUUCUUUGAAUUUUCGAUAUAAAGCGGUAGAACAUUGCGAUUUCAUCUUCCGGUUAGCUGAAUAUAGUCAUUGUUUUAAAAAAAGGCUCUUACGUUGCGAGCGGAAGUAUUGCAAGCCAGGUAGCGUGGAUUGCAUUUGCUUUAGAAAGAAUCUAUGAUCUAAUGAUGGGAGCAAACAUUCCGACGAUGGAUCCAACGAGUGCGCACGCUCGAUUGAAUGCAAACCCAGUCGGAAGGUGUAGAGGAGGAGCAAGUAGAGACGAGGAAAGCGAAUAUGCAACUAACGCUGAUGGAAGAAGGCGGAAAAUAGGGGGGGGACGAAAGAAAAAAAACGAAGAAAAAAGAGAGAACGAGAGGGUUCGGUUUUAGUUAUAUUUCCUCCGUCACCAAUUGUAGUAGACUAUAUAUGUUUCAAGCGACGAUACGCCACAGCGUCUAAAAGCUUUUCUCAACUCCAACUCACAGUUAAAGCCCGUAUUUAUUCUCUUCACCUGUGGCCUAUUUUCUCUCUCUCCGUCCCUCCCUCAAGCAUUGGGCAUAUUACGCGUCAUAUUCCCCUAUAUCCAGUCAACGAUUUUCCAUCGAAUGUAGGGUUUAUCCUUGGUUUGCUAUAUCCCACCUUCCUCCAACUACUGUUUCAAAAGCUCUUCUGAUCCAAUCAAUGAUAGUGCCCUUUCUUUUACGUCUGACCAAACAUCUAUUGGAGACAUGUGAGACGACGUAGGAUAGCGACGGGGCUGGUCACCGCUCGACUGGAGUUACUCGAUGGACGUAAUACUGCAUGACGACGAGAUCAAAAACAAAGCAAGAAAUCCAACCAAGCGUGAUGACCGGGCAGUUGGGCUUUGUUAUUGACAGAGUCAUGACACGUCUACAUCCUCAAGAAGAUAUAGUGAAACAACCGUACUUUGGCAUGUAGUUCCUAAUUUUUUUUUACCACUUUUCCCUUCAGAGGAGAAAACAAAAAAGACUUUAAUUAAUACGAAAGGAGCCAUGGUGGUCCCCAUAUAAUUGGUAAUAGAUAGCACUACUUUUUCACUUGGUCCACGGUUGGUGUUUGAUAGAUAUCGGAGUAAUUCUCUCAUUAUUGUGGGUUUAUUUUUUUUUUUUCGAAAUUGUUUUAUUGCAGUUUUUCUUUCGAUAAGAAUGACCACUGAGAAGGCACGAGUAAAUUGCCAAGAUGGCUGCUUUGUUAGGAGGGGGAAAAAAAAUAAAUAAAUGACAAGAGAUCUCUCGAAAACGUAGUGGUUCUUGUUGUGCUUGGCGAAAGCAAGCAAAGUGUGUUCAGGAUAACUUACGGAAUCAAUACCUUCGUCUGCCUGUUUUCAACGAAGGCGGCGAUUUGGGCGUUGCAGGGUUAUCGUCGCAGUAACAGGAAGAACGGCAAAUCCUCCGCCAUGUAUCGGUGAGAUGCAACCGACUUUUCUCCAUUCUACUUCCCCUUUUCUCAUUCUCUCUUCUUCUUUUUCUUUUUCUCUCUCCUCCUUCUCUUCCGUUCUCCCCCUUUUUUUCUAUCCCCCCCCCUCUUCUCUCUUUGCCCGCCUCCCCCCCUCCUCUACUUUUUGUCAAAAACAUCAGGAUCGAAUCAAUAAAGUGAGCGUCUAAGAGUCGGGGCUGGGUUCCGAAGAGAAUAUACAACCAAUGGCGUCUAGAUACAUAUUAUGCUAUAUCUCCAGAUAGUAGACUUCCCCUACUUCCGCAGUCGGACGUGCUCCACAUGAGGCAUCCGACAACCAUCAUCUCUUUGCGUCAGAGAAUUUUUCGUGCGCGCUUAAAAGCAUCAAGUGUUACAACAAACGAAGAGCUUCCAUGCCAACGCCGGGAUCGUAUGCAUUUCACGAUUUUACGAAGAUCACAGGUAUACGAGACGAAUCUUCCUACAAAACUUUUUACCAUCCGUAAUCCGUUUUUGGUGUUUUGUUUUUUUGUUUUUUGUUUUUUUGUUUGGUAUCAAUCGUAUUCCCUACGGCCAACAUUCACUUCACUGCGCUGACUUUUGCUUCGGUGCUAUUGACUGUCUCUCUUUAAGCUUCCCCCGCUUUUCCAGGUUAGUUCCCUGAAAGGACGUACUGAACUAGACGGCAGUGCAAUGAGUGGCAACGGUGAAAGUAAAGCUAUAAUAUUGGGCAAAGUAGAAAACAUUCAGCCACGAGAGCCGCGAGUCCGCCAGUCAAAAGAUAUGGCUGCUUUCUUGUUUGACGUAAUCUUUCUUGUGAGUGAACACGGCCGGAAACGAAGCACUUUAUUUGUAGGCAAAGCAAGAAUGGAGCUCCCAGGAUGGUUACUGACAGUACUCAACAUGGCAAAUGGUACUGGCCGGAGUGAUUCGACUGGAUUGACAUGUUCACCCUCAACAACUGCCCUGAUAAAUGGCAAGAAUGCUGAAACGCGUUUAGAUUUCGGCGGGUAUUCUCGAGUGAUUAACACGUUAUGAAACCAGAGUUGUUAUUGCUUGAGAAUACACGUUGCCUCUGAACUGAAGCAACAUUAGCGAUCGGCCCCAGUGACAUCCCAGCUGUAUGAGCACCUGUUUAACCUUAUGUUUCUAUUCGGGCGUUACGGCUGGGCCAAUGCUAUGUUGCCUAUACGGAUAAGUUGCCACGUGAACUAUUGUAGCGUAACACAAUGACUAUGCAAAUGAUAUUGUAGUGUGCAUGUGUGAUGCUGAUUUACGGUAUAUCCUACUCACGACGUAUAUUGUUCUGCCAAUGCGAUAAGUAGGCUCCCGAUCCAUACCGGUUCCAUUUGCUAGGCCUACACUGCACACGGGCUCUCCAUGCGUUUUGUAUGCUAAUCAUUGCCUAGGUGGAUACAAGUGACUAGUGUUCCAGUUCCGAUCCCAGCGUCACAUCCAAGGAACGGGCAUUUGCCCCAAUCUCUAAAGUUCGUCCACUUAUGCGAAAGAGGUAAUUCACAAAAGUGACGAAAUAAAUAUCAGUGGAUAAGAUGGCGACGAAAUUGUUUCGUAGUCUGACUGCUGUGGAGAAAACGUGCUGAUCGGGCUGUGUACCAUCUGAUAUGUGAUUCCAUUCCAUUUCCUCGGAAUUGUCAUGUGAAUGAUGAUUGAUGAACACUACAUUGCGUCAUUCAAAUCGUGUCAGUAUAAUCCUCGUCAAAAAUUGCUCAUUGCCCGUCCAACAAUCACAUAUCCUUCUUUGAAUGUACAGUCGUCACUAAACUCUCUUUAGACAUGUAUAGUACAGUACAUUUCGCAGCAUGUAUUUUGAUGAGAUAAAAAUACAUAUAUACAAAAUGA